GACGAACGCUGGCGGCGUGCUUAACACAUGCAAGUCGAACGAAGUGGCGAACGGGUGAGUAACGUGUAAUAAACCUGCCCUUCAGAGGGGGAAAACAGUUGGAACAGACUGCUAAUACCGCAAACUGAAGGAGGGGAUUGCGUCGGAUUAGGUAGUUGGGGGGGUAACGGCCCACCAAGGCGAUGAUCAGUAGCCGGUCUGAGAGGAUGAACUGCCACAUUGGGACUGAGACACGGCCCAGACUCCUACUGGAGGCAGCAGUGGGGAAUCUUCCGCAAUUGACGAAAGUCUGACGGAGCAACGCCGCGUGAGUGAUGACGGCCUUCGGGUUGUAAAGCUCUGUUAAUCGGGACGCGGUACCGGAAUAGAAAGCCACGGCUAACUACGUGCCAGCAGCCGCGGUAAUUC
rnacentral:rRNA from 1 species